GGCAAAAGCUCAAAUUUGAAAUCGGCCCCCAGGUCGAGUUGUUAAUUUGUAGAUUGUAUCUUGAGAGCGGAUUAAAGUCUGUUGGAACACAGCGCCUUAGAGGGUGACAGCCCCGUAAAAUCUAUUCUCAUUGUAAGAUACUUUCGAAGAGUCGAGUUGUUUGGGAAUGCAGCUCUAAGUGGGAGGUAAAUUCCUUCUAAAGCUAAAUAUUGACGAGAGACCGAUAGCGAACAAGUACUGUGAAGGAAAGAUGAAAAGCACUUUGAAAAGAGAGUGAAAAAGUACGUGAAAUUGUUAAAAGGGAAGGGUAUUGAAUCAGACUUGGUGCUGUUGUUCAACUGUGUUUCGGCAUAGUGUACUCAGCAGUACUAGGCCAAGGUGGGGUGUUUGGGAGUGAAAAAGAAGUAGGAACGUAACUCUUCGGAGUGUUAUAGCCUACUUUCAUAGCUCCUCAGGCGCCUCAGGACUGCGCUUCGGCAAGGACCUUGGCAUAAUGAUUCUAUACCGCCCGUCUUGAAACACGGACCAAGGAGA
rnacentral:rRNA from 1 species